GACGAACGCUGGCGGCGUGCCUAAUACAUGCAAGUAGAACGCACAGUUUAUACCGUAGCUUGCUACACCAUAGACUGUGAGUUGCGAACGGGUUAGUAACGCGUAGGUAACCUGCCUGGUAGCGGGGGAGAACUAUUGGAAACGAUAGCUAAUACCGCAUAAUAUUAAUUAUUGCAUGAUAAUUAAUUGAAAGGUGCAAUUGCACCACUACCAGAUGGACCUGCGUUGUAUUAGCUAGUAGGUGAGGUAACGGCUCACCUAGGCGACGAUACAUAGCCGACCUGAGAGGGUGAUCGGCCACACUGGGAAUGAGACACGGCCCAGAAUCCUACGGGAGGCAGCAGUAGGGAAUCUUCGGCCAUGGACGAAAGUCUGACCGAGCAACGCCGCGUGAGUGAAGAAGGUUUUCGGAUCGUAAAGCUCUGUUGUAAGAGAAGAACGGGUGUGAGAGUGGAAAGUUCACACUGUGACGGUAUCUUAACAGAAAGGGACGGCUAACUACGUG
rnacentral:rRNA from 1 species